rnacentral:rRNA from 1 species
UGGGGAAUAUUGGACAAUGGGCGCAAGCCUGAUCCAGCCAUGCCGCGUGAGUGAUGAAGGUCUUAGGAUUGUAAAGCUCUUUCACCGACGAAGAUAAUGACGGUAGUCGGAGAAGAAGCCCCGGCUAACUUCGUGCCAGCAGCCGCGGUAAUACGAAGGGGGCUAGCGUUGUUCGGAAUUACUGGGCGUAAAGCGCAUGUAGGCGGAUAUUUAAGUCAGGGGUGAAAUCCCAGAGCUCAACUCUGGAACUGCCUUUGAUACUGGGUAUCUUGAGUAUGGAAGAGGUGAGUGGAAUUCCGAGUGUAGAGGUGAAAUUCGUAGAUAUUCGGAGGAACACCAGUGGCGAAGGCGGCUCACUGGUCCAUUACUGACGCUGAGGUGCGAAAGCGUGGGGAGCAAACA